UACGUAGGUGGCGAGCGUUGUCCGGAUUUAUUGGGCGUAAAGCGCGCGCAGGCGGUGCGGUAAGUCCGUCGUGAAAUCUCCCGGCUCAACUGGGAGGGUGCGGUGGAGACUGCCGGACUGGAGGCACUCAGAGGCCGGUGGAAUUCCCGGUGUAGUGGUGAAAUGCGUAGAGAUCGGGAGGAACACCAGUGGCGAAGGCGGCCGGCUGGGGGUGACCUGACGCUGAGGCGCGAAAGCGUGGGGAGCGAACCGGGAGUUAGAUAAUCCCGAGAC
rnacentral:rRNA from 1 species